rnacentral:sRNA from 1 species
GUCAAUUACCCAACGAUUAAAAUCGUGGGCUUGUAAAAGCUCUAAUUGAUUAGACUAAGCUAUUUAGUUAGCUACGUUAUUUAAGAAUAUAUAGUUACCUUUAGGUAUUUUGUCUAGCCUGAAGCUCUA